UUCCGGUUGAUCCUGCCGGAGGUCACUGCUAUUGGGAUUCGACUAAGCCAUGCGAGUCGAGAGGGUUCGGCCCUCGGCUGACGGCUCAGUAACACGUGGAUAAUCUGCCCUUAGGUGGAGGAUAAUCUCGGGAAACUGAGGAUAAUACUCCAUAGAUCUAGGAUGCUGGAAUGCAUCUAGAUUGAAAGCUCCGACGCCUAAGGAUGAGUCUGCGGACUAUCAGGUUGUAGUUAGGGUAAAGACCUGACUAGCCUACGACGGAUACGGGUUGUGAGAGCAAUAACCCGGAGACGAUAUCUGAGACACGAUAUCGGGCCCUACGGGGCGCAGCAGGCGCGAAAACUUCACACUGUGCGAAAGCGCGAUGAGGGAAUCCCAAGUGUUUGCUCGUAAGAGUAAACUGUUUCUUUGUUUAAAACGCAGAGAGAGUAAGGGCUGGGUAAGACGGGUGCCAGCCGCCGCGGUAAUACCUGCAGCUCUAGUGGUGAUCAUUAUUAUUGGGCCUAAAACGUCCGUAGCCGGUUUAGUAAAUGCCUGGGUAAAUCGUGUAGCUUAACUAUACGACUUCCGGGUAGACUGCUAAACUUGAGACCGGGAGAGGCUAGAGGUACUCCUGGGGUAGAGGUGAAAUUCUGUAAUCCUAGGGGGACCACCAGUGGCGAAGGCGUCUAGCUAGAACGGGUCUGACGGUGAGGGACGAAGCCCUGGGGCGCAAACCGGAUUAGAUACCCGGGUAGUCCAGGGUGUAAACGCUGCUUGCUUGAUGUUAGUUGGGCUCCGAGCCCAACUAGUGUCGAAGAGAAGUUGUUAAGCAAGCUGCCUGGGAAGUACGGUCGCAAGGCUGAAACUUAAAGGAAUUGGCGGGGGAGCACAACAACGGGUGGAGCGUGCAGAUAAAUUGGAAUCAACGCCG
rnacentral:rRNA from 1 species